rnacentral:rRNA from 1 species
AUUGAACGCUGGCGGCAGGCCUAACACAUGCAAGUCGAACGAGUGGCGGACGGGUGAGUAAUGUCUGGGAAACUGCCUGAUGGAGGGGGAUAACUACUGGAAACGGUAGCUAAUACCGCAUACCAUCGGAUGUGCCCAGAUGUGAUUAGCUAGUAGGUGGGGUAACGGCUCACCUAGGCGACGAUCCCUAGCUGGUCUGAGAGGAUGACCAGCCACACUGGAACUGGGGAACGGUCCAGACUCCUACGGGAGGCAGCAGGGGGGAAUAUUCGACAAUGGGCGCAAGCCUGCUGCAGCCAUGCCGCGUGUAUGAAGAAGGCCUUCGGGUUGUAAAAUACUUUCAGCGGGGAGGCGUUACCCGCAGAAGAAGCACCGGCUAACUCCGUGCCAGCAGCCGCGGUAAUAC